GACGAACGCUGGCGGCGUGCUUAACACAUGCCAGUCGAACGGAAAGGCCCUGCUUGCAGGGUACUCGAGUGGCGAACGGGUGAGUAACACGUGGGUGAUCUGCCCUGCACUUCGGGAUAAGCCUGGGAAACUGGGUCUAAUACCGGAUAGGAGCCAUUUUUAGUGUGAUGGUUGGAAAGUUUUUUCGGUGUAGGAUGAGCUCGCGGCCUAUCAGCUUGUUGGUGGGGUAAUGGCCUACCAAGGCGGCGACGGGUAGCCGGCCUGAGGGGGUGGACGGCCACAUUGGGACUGAGAUACGGCCCAGACUCCUACGGGAGGCAGCAGUGGGGAAUAUUGCACAAUGGGCGCAAGCCUGAUGCAGCGACGCCGCGUGGGGGAUGACGGCCUUCGGGUUGUAAACUCCUUUCGCUAGGGACGAAGCUUUUUGUGACGGUACCUAGAUAAGAAGCACCGGCUAACUACGUG
rnacentral:rRNA from 1 species